rnacentral:rRNA from 1 species
AGUGAACGCUGGCGGUAGGCCUAACACAUGCAAGUCGAACGGCAGCACAGUAAGAGCUUGCUCUUACGGGUGGCGAGUGGCGGACGGGUGAGGAAUACAUCGGAAUCUACUUUUUCGUGGGGGAUAACGUAGGGAAACUUACGCUAAUACCGCAUACGACCUACGGGUGAAAGCAGGGGAUCUUCGGACCUUGCGCGAUUGAAUGAGCCGAUGUCGGAUUAGCUAGUUGGCGGGGUAAAGGACCACCAAGGCGACGAUCCGUAGCUGGUCUGAGAGGAUGAUCGCACACACUGGAACGUAAACAGGGACCAGACUCCUACGAGAGGCAGCAGAAGGGAAUAUUGGACAAAGGGGGAAAGGCUGAUCAAGCCAUACCGCGUGCGGGAAGAGGACCUUCUGUUUGUAAAGCUCUUUUAUGAGGAAAGAAAAGCAGCAGGUUAAAACGCAGCUGUUCUGACGAUACCCAAAGAAUAAGCACCGGCUAACUUCGUG